rnacentral:lncRNA from 1 species
UUGGGGUCUCCAAAAAGAAUUAGGAUGAUUCCUCCAAUCUUAGUUAUAUGUGUUAGAGAAUGAAUCAUUGACAGGCUUGGAGUAACUUUGGACAGCUUGAACUUAUUCUUGGACGAAGGGUGGAAAUGGUGCAACCAUGGGAUAUUCACUUACAUGAUGGGUUGGGCUAGCACAGAUAGAAUAAAUCUCCUGAUAAUUAAAAGGUGGUAUGCAUUGCGCAAGAGAUUGUUGAUCUAGGACUAGGCAUUUAUCUAUAAGAAGGUCGACUUUAUCUAAUUUUUGGACUAUCAAGUUCAAAUCGGUCUUAGGACUAGAGUCAGAAUAUUUGAUCCCAUAGAAUGAUGAAAACAUUAAUGGGUUAUAGGUGGAAGGAAUAAAAUAUUCCUUCAUCUGCCUAGGUGGUUCUCAAGAUUUUCAGCCAGUUGAGUAUUAGGUUUAACAUGGAUCAACC